rnacentral:lncRNA from 1 species
GGGGCACCGGGGUCUGCUUUCCGACUCCCUUCCGACUCCGCGCCUGCGCAGGAAGCGAUUUGGGGAGUGUUGUGAAUUCCGAGGGCUCCACACUUAAGAGGUUGUACACUCACCUGUCUACCUGGACUCCAAUUUCCAUAUUUCCAGCCACUUGAGGACUGAGAGGUGGAUGAUAAACCCUGUCAUAGUGGAGCAAGUUCAGGUGUUUAACCGCUGUUAUGGGGGAUCUGCCUUUUCUCCCUCUUCUUUCUUACUUCCAUAAGUAUGUAUGUGCAGAGAUUGAAAAAUAACCUUGAGAGAGUCCAUCCAUCUAACUCCAGGGAGUCGUGCUCUGUCACCCAGGCUGGAGUGUAGUGGCGCGAUCUCUGCUCUGCUCAUUGCAACCUCUGCCUCCCUGGUUCAAGCAAUUCUUCUGCCUCAGCCUCCCAAGUAGCUUGGAUUACAGGCGCCCGCCACCACACCCAGCUAAUUUUUGUAUUUUUAGUAGAGACGGGGUUUCACCGUGUUGGCCAAGCUGGUCUCGAACUCCUGACCUCGUGAUCCGCCCACCUUGUCCUCCCAAAGUGCUGGGAUUACAGGCGUGAGCCACCGCGCCCGGCCAAUAAGCUUUUUUCUUAAAAAGUACUCAGAAGACUUUUCUAUCCAUUCAUUCUGUUAACGCGCGUCAGUGUGAAGAGACCACCAAACAGGCUUUGG